rnacentral:miRNA from 1 species
AACCGCUCAGUGGCUCGGACC